rnacentral:rRNA from 1 species
GACGAACGCUGGCGGCGUGCUUAACACAUGCAAGUCGAACGAAGUGGCGAACGGGUGAGUAAUACGUGGGUAACCUGCCCUCCUUUUUGGGAUAAGCCUUGGAAACGGGGUCUAAUACCGAAUAAAGGGGGAUGGGCUCGCGGCCUAUCAGCUGGUUGGUGGGGUGAUGGCCUACCAAGGCGGUGACGGGUAGCCGGCCGGCGAGGGUGACCGGCCACGUGGGGACGGACAGACUGCUCAGACUCCUACGGGAGGGAGAAGUGGGGCAUAUUGCACAAUGGUGGAAAGCCCGAUGCAGCGACGCCGAGUGGGGGUUGAAGGCUUUCGGGUUGUAAACCGCUUUGGCAAGCGAACGGGUAGGUGGAGAAGAAGCGCCGGCUAACUACGUGCCAGCAGCCGCGGUAAUAC